UGGCCGCCCUUUCCAGUUAACUAGGUGGACCCCAGUUAAGCGUCUGUCUCGGUUAGCGUCACUCCAGCUGCAACCGGUCCGUGGUAGACGCUGGUUUUUUCCCCUGGUCCGAGUAGGCCCAGUUCCGCCUCUCCGGCCGCUAGACAGUCUCGGAGGCCCUUCCCAUUUACUUUGGGAGCCCCGACGGCGAGCGGCGGCGGCAGCCACCAAGGUUCGGCUUCAGCAUCGACUGCUGACGCCACUACUCAUUCAAGCACCAUGCUGUUUACUUCAGUGUCAGAUGCUUCUACCUCCACUGUUGCUUCUGGGUUCUCAUUUGUUUCCCCAACAACUUCAAAUGGAGCAUUUGGUGGUUUAACUUUGGGAUUUGGAUUCAAAUUUCCUGGAAUGGGUGGAGGAGCUCAUACUGUAUCUACUACAGCAUCAACAACGACUACCACCACUGUCACUACUACCACUACGACUACCACAACCACCAGUGGCUUUACUUUGAAUCUAAGAUCACUGGCAUCAGCUGGGAUUAAUAGCAUUGUUCCAGUCGGUAUUAAUUCCAUACCUUUUACUUCGACUGUUAAUGCAAUCGUAACUCCUGUGAUGACAUAUGGUCAGCUGGAGGGUCUGAUAAACAAAUGGAGCCUUGAUUUAGAGGAUCAAGAGAGGUACUUUCUUCACCAGGCCACUCAGGUCAAUGCUUGGGACCGUACACUGAUUGAGAAUGGUGAGAAGAUUACAACUUUGCAUGGAGAAGUGGAAAAAGUGAAACUGGAUCAGAAAAGGCUGGAACAAGAAUUGGAUUUUAUCCUGUCACAGCAGAAGGAACUAGAAGAUCUCUUGACCCCUUUAGAGGAGUUUGUGAAGGACCAGAAUGGGGCUGCUUAUCUGCAGCAUGAAGAUGCGGAGCCUGGGAAGACUUACAAAUUAGCAGAAAAUAUAGAUGCUCAGCUGAAGCGAAUGGCCCAAGAUCUCAAGGACAUUAUCGAAAACCUGAAUACAUUCGGAAGUCCUGCAGACGUCACUGACCCGCUCCAGCAGAUCUGCAAAAUUCUGAAUGCUCAUAUGGACUCUCUACAGUGGAUUAAUGAGAAUUCAGAUUCCACAUAUAAGUGAAAUCAUACGGUGUUUGUCUUUGUCUGACUUAUUUCACGUAGCAUAAUACCCUCUAGUUCCAUCCAUGUUGUCACAAAUGGCAAGAUUUCAUGUUUUUAUGGGCAUGCUGCAAUGGAAGGUAGAAGAGGUAACACAGGUUUUUGAGGAUCAUCAUCACAUGGAGCUGGAACGCAGUGUCAAGAUUGCUUUUGAUUGAAUGACCAUAUCUUCAGCAUGUUCUUUUGGGAUUAUAUAUCACCUACAAAUUGUGAUGAUGUGAAAUAGAGUAGUAUUUACAAUUAUUACUUAAUCUUUGGUUGCAAUAAAGUGUGCACGUUGUUGGGUUUUUUUUUUUAUUUCAAUAUUAGGCUGUUGAGAAAUAUUCUGUAGUUUGGCUUUUCAUAUUAGCAAACCAGAACUAUAUUUGCCUUCUUUACCAGGCUGCAACCUAUUAGAUGUCGACGCUGUGUGUGUAAUUUUAUCUUAUAUUCUCCUAGAUUCCAUAUUCUACCAGCAGCACAACAUUGUCCUUGUUACUCUAACCGGAUCAUAGAGAAAUGUUUGACGAGAAAUAGAUGCCCAACCAGUCUUUACUGCGUGCCUCUUAACUUUCAACAUAUAGUGCUAGAUACUGUAGUCUUUUUCCUCAACGGAACAUAAUGUCUAGUUUGAGAUAAAAUUAAUGCCUAUCUGUAUAAAAACAAUAUAGACAAUACAAGGAAGUGUGUGAAUUACAGAAAGUGUGCUAUAGAGAUUCAGAGAAGAAGAGAAGUUAGGGUGGAUUUGGGCCUUGAAUUAGGUUAUUUUUAAAAGGGUAAGGUUUAGGCAACUCAUGUAUUUUUUAUGUAUAGAUAACCUUAUUUUAUUUGGCUUUAGCAUAUGAUUUAUAGUUGUUGGUUUUUGUAUAUUUGUUUGUUUUUCAAGAAAAAGCCUUGUUCUUAGCUUGGCAAUAGUUUGAUCUUUCAUGUUGCAUGUUUUACGUAAGGCAUAAAUAAAGAUGAUAUUCUAAAAAAUAAAAGUGUAACAUGAAAGUAAACUUA